rnacentral:rRNA from 1 species
CCUACGGGUGGCAGCAGUGGGGGAUAUUGCACAAUGGGGGAAACCCUGAUGCAGCGACGCCGCGUGGGCGAAGAAGUAUUUCGGUAUGUAAAGCCCUAUCAGCAGGGAAGAAGAAAUGACGGUACCUGAGUAAGAAGCACCGGCUAACUACGUGCCAGCAGCCGCGGUAAUACGGAUGGUGCAACCGUUAUCCGGCUUUACUGGGGGGAGAGGGAGCGCAGGCGGCACGGCAAGCCUAGUGUGAAAGCCCGCGGCCCAACGGGGGGACUGCCUUGGGAACUGCCGGGCUGGAGUGCCGGAGAGGUAGGCGGAAUUCCUAGUGUAGCGGUGAAAUGCGUAGAUAUUAGGAGGAACACCAGUGGCGAAGGCGGCCAACUGGACGGUGACUGACGCUGAGGAGCGAAAGCGUGGGGAGCAAACAGGAUUAGACACCCCAGUAGUC